CAACAGUAAGACGGGGAUCUGUGGCAUGGGUUGGUUCUGGCCCUGAAUUCUUUAUAAGCCUAGCAAACCAUGUGGAGUGGAAAAAAUCCUAUACUGUAUUUGGGUAUGUACUCCCCGAGGACAUGGAAAUUGCUGAGAAAAUUGCUCAGCUUCCCACAAAAUCUGAUGUCUGGAACAAUAUUAAGGUGGCAGUCUUGGAGAAGCCUGUAUCUUUGUUGAUACGAAGAAUGAAGAACAGUCAAGAGGACCUAAACCAGAGCGCUAAGUAGGACAGGGCUUUUGUUGGCUUUAUCGGGCAACUUUGUAAAUCAAAUUAUAGGUUUGUCUCCAAAAUUUCCAGUUUCUUUUACUUGUAUACCGUUUUUUAUAUACUCAAUCUAGCAUACAGUUUACAGAACACAAAAGAUGUAUAACAUGGCAUUUUGAGGCCUCAAGUAUGAGUACUCUGGAAAACUUUGGCUGUGGUUAUGCCAUUUCGGACUCAAGGGUGCAUGAGUUAAUUAAAAAAGUUGCUCGAGCACCUUUGACGCACGCAUGUAACAAUUUCAGAUGGUUUGUUUGAUGGAGGGUCUGACUCUGACAUCAUGCAAUAACAAGUUGGACUACAUCUUGCUGCCAGAUGCGAAUCAAGUUCUGUGGUUAUUCUAGUCAUGUCUCAUUGAUCGGUUAAUUUCUUGAUAAGUAUUUCCAAUUGUUAGGAGGGACUGCUCCUGUCCAGUGGGAAAGGGUUCAAGAAUUCUACAUUUAACUUCAAUUAUGGUCUUUCCGUUUGUUGUUACUCGUAUCGCUAGGGAUGAUUUCAUGAGAUGCAGAUGCAGAUGCAGAUCAAUAAGAGGUUUACGUGAACUAAUCCUCUGUGUUGUUGGUGACAGAUAGCCAAGAAACCUAGAGGAAGUCCAGUGAAAUAGUUAGGAAUCUCGGGGUGGUUUGUGAAAUUAUCCCAUUAGACUGGUAAUCUACUGUCAGAUCCCAUACUUAGGGUCUAUUUGAUAAUAUAAAAAAAAUGCUUAAACUGAAUUUUUUCAAGCAUUCAGAUAUUUUGAAUGUUUGAUGAAUGAAAAUCUAUCUACUAAACUUGUUAAGCAGUGCUGAAUUUAUGUGUAUUUUUUUCAGCACAAGAAUCCUAACUGAAUGCUGAAUUCUGAUAAGAAUCAAUAAAAUUACUUUAACUACCUUAUCUUAUCUACCAAAUCUAUCGAGCAAGAUAGCCGCAAUUAUCAAAAACCUCAAGGGAUGUUUAUAAAAAUUAUCCCAAACAGAAUUGCACCAUGUAGAAUUGCAAGUCCUUUACGGAAAGAACGUAAAAUGGUGCAAGACAAGGGGUGUACAAUAGUAGUAUUGAUAUAAUAACUUAGGGGAGUCUGGCUAUGCUAUGCAUAGGCGCUGCUCGCCAUAAUUUGAUCUAAAUUUUGCUUAUUAAAUACAUCGCCAUGUAAUUAAUGAGAUAUGAUCAUGUAAGUUAAGUCAAUGACAAUCAAAGAUUUAACUAAUAGAGAGAUUAUCAAGUUUACUGUAUUAUAUGCAGAAUAGCCAAGUAGUUUAAUGGUGUAAAUGUUGCUUAUCAACUAAUUUUUUCCCCCUUCCAAUCGUGCUAAUUUGCUGGUAAGAAAAUAGGUAUUGUAUUAUUUAUUAAUUGGAAGAAUUAAUAUUAUGUUAGUGUCCUGCAUUUAUAAAUGUUUCAAAAAUCUCAAUAAUGACUGAGUGAUAAAUAAAACUCAACUGUAUAACAAAUUUAACUUACCAAUAUUGAAAUGAUUGAAGUGCAGCACUUUGAGAAAAUUACAUUGAAUAAAAAUAUGAUUUUUGCUAUUCAUGUUCCAUAGUCCACAACCAAAUUCAAGAUUCAUUUACAACCUCUGAACAAAUGUCAAUUUGUUCCCUAAGUAAAUACCAAAUAUAAUUAGGGAAAGCUUAGAAGUCAGAUGGAAUAUUUUCUUCACAUCCUAUGCUCAUAGCCUCCUGGAUUCCAUUACUCAUCAUCCUGUCUCCACCUCUAUCUAUGCAUUAAGAAAUUUUAAUUGCAUUAUUUAAUGUACUUCCUUUUUCCAUAAAAUCUCAUUCCCAAUAGGACUAGCAAUUCCUAAUAGGACUUCACAAUUACAAUUGUCCCUCAGGUUGAUAUACAAUCAGCGCACUUAAAAGGAUAUAUAUAUAAAAUUUUGCUUGUGCUUACUGCUUAUGAUUAAGAUUCUUUGUGUCCAUACUAUAAGAAGAAAAUGCCCUGGUUUGAUAAAAAAAAACUGGUUAAAAAUUCACAAUGAUGCCAAACAGCCUUAUGGGCUGCAGGUUAAAAGAAGAUCCCUUCAUCAAAAUUCUAGUUCUGAUCCCUAACAGGGUGUUUGUAUUUUUGCUCCAAGAAACCUUAUAUAAGGAAGCCCAAUUUAAUCUUAGUAUCACACACAAUUCUUUCUUUGACAAUAGCUACUCCUUUCUUUCCUAAGCCAUAAUGUUUCAAUUUUUCGUUAAUACCUUCUCCAAUACUGCUAGCAUCUCUGCUAAUCUAAAUGAUCAACACGCUCGUCUAUUUUUGUCUUCUGCAAUUUGUGGGCUUACCUUAAUAUGGUUUGCAUUAAUGUUUACCAAGAAAUCAAACAAGAAACAGCCACCAUUGCCACCAGGACCUAAACCAUUGCCUCUAGUGGGAAAUCUCUUGUCCGUUGAUCCUGAACUUCCCGCAUACUUCACAAACUUGUCCAGAACCUAUGGUCCAAUCAUGACUUUUUGGCUUGGCAAAAAGGCAGGAAUUGUCAUUAGCACUACCAGAUUGGUGAGGGAAGUGCUAAAGGAUCAAGACACCACAUUUGCCAACCGGGAUGUGCCCGCGGCCGCCAGGGAAAUCGCUUACGGUGGCUCAGACAUUGUCUGGACACCAUAUGGACCGGAGUGGAGGAUGCUGAGGAAGGUUUGCGUUCGUGAAAUGCUGAGUUGUGCUACUUUAGACACCGUUUACGCCCUCAGGCGCAAUGAACUUCGACAGAUGAUCAAGUACAUUCACAGCCAAGCUGGAAAACAAGUAAAUGUGGGUGAGCAACUUUUUCUGAGUGUGUUAAACGUGAUUACUAACAUGUUGUGGGGUGGUACAGUGAAAGGAGAUGAGAGGGCCGGUGUUGGAGCCGAGUUCAGGAAAGUGAUUACUGAGAUCACUGGAUUUCUGGGAAUGCCUAAUCUGUCAGAUUUUUAUCCUGGUUUGGCUAGAUUUGAUCUGCAAGGUAUCCAGAAAAAGAGCAAGGUUUUGGCUCAGAGGUUUGAUGCAAUAUUUGAGAAGAUGAUAGCGCAAAGGCGACUCAAUGAUAAUGGGAGCGAAAGCAAGGACUUUUUGCAGUUCUUGCUGCAGCUGAAAGGUCAAGGAGAUGCCAGGACGCCUCUUACAAUGACUCACAUUAAAGCUUUACUCAUGGUAAUAUCUGCCAUUUAAAGAUACUCUGGCCCCUGAUCGACAUGAGAAGGGGGACAAAACGAUGUGGACUUCUGGCCUUGUUUUUGGAAAAGGAGAAGUAUGACAUUCAGUCUAUUAACAAUUAUCUACAUCUUUAUAUUUCAUAGAUCAAGUACGUGAUAUGGUAUUUGGUCAUGACAUUUUUCUAUUUGUAAGCUUAUCCUGUAUAUUUUACUCUCAAGUUUCAAUUCAUACCAGCAUUUUCAGUUUUGUUGCAUAAAUGGUAAAAUUAGUAGACUGAGUUCUAUCUUUUAAACAUAUUUCUUCAAAUGAUUUUCUCACUUAAAGUUUUCUUUUCGUUUCCUAUCACGAUCAGCAGUCAAUCUUGCUGAAGCCUCUAUCUUUUUUGAGAGUUCGGUUUUUCUAUUUCCAAAAUGGUGCACGAGGAUGUGUUGGACAAAACUGUUGCUGCUUAUUCUACCAUAUGCUACAGAUACUGUAUUUUAAUCCCUUUGGCUUUUAUCUGGCUAGCUUGAAUUAUUCAUGUUGAUUUGUGAUCUUGUAUACAAGGAAAGAAAGUCACAACAAAAUUAUGUGGUACCUAUAUUGUGGUGUGUUUAAACAUGAAAUUCAGCUUUGAAUUGAAAGGCAUUUGCUUUUUUGGUUUCCUUUAGUGAUUUUCUUUCUUUCCUGCCUGUCCUUUUCUUUUUUGUACUAAUCCAAUAUUUCUAUCUUCAUGCAGCUGUAGUUGUCCUUGCAUCUUGAAUUAAUAGUUUUCAGGAGCGACUAAAGCUCAAAAGGAUGGGCAAUUAAUUAGAAAAACACUGCAGGGACUUUUCCAUUAUUUUUUUAUCUUCCUUUCAAAUAUACGUAUCUGUAGUAUUUUAUUAAACAUUUUAAGUUAAUUGUAGAACAUAGAAACUGCAUUUUGGAGUCUUCAUUGACUUUAUCAUUGAAAAGAUAGUAUUGAAAGAACCAAAAGCCAAGCAAUUGCAGGAGUACUGCAGCAACUGCAAUUUUGCUACUAUAAUGAGGAUUCAGCUUUCAAAUCCAAUCCCAUUUUUAACACUUUUUUCUACCAAUCUCCCCAUAUUUUGAACAAUUUUUCACUUGUUUCUUUCAUGAAUUCAACAGAGGACUUCAUCUCAUUAUUUGAUAUAGUCAAAAUCUUAUUUUCAUAUCUCUUUUCGAAAUCUUUGUGCAACAUAUAUACUUGUUUCUCUGUGUCUACUUUGGGGAUCGGUGGAAUGUUUCUUUCAAAAUAUUUUUGGAUGUGAAGUACAUUGUGCUUCCUGCAAGCUUUUGCUUAUUUGUGUUUCCUGUAGGGCAUAAUUGGCAUGGAAACUGAUUAUGGAACUCUUCACAUAAAGGUAAUUUUGCUUGCUUUUGGUUAAAGUGGAAGCUUUUUAUGUUUACUGAUCUCACACAGCUGUCCUAAUGGUUUCAUUUUAUAUAGAAUCAGCUUCAUGGAGACGUUUUAAACUACAUUGUAGAUUAUGAGUUAUUACAUAUGGUACUGUAGAUCGUUGUGUUGUACUGAAUCCACAGAGUGGUUGAGAAACUUAUUUGAGGGUUGAAAAUUGUAGCCAAAGUGGGGUUUGAACUUUUAUUGAAAUUCUUGCAAAGCAUUUAAAGUGUAGGUGAGAUUUUUCAGAGUGUUGCAGUGUAAGAAUUUUAUGGAAACUGUGGACAGUCUGUAGAAGCAAUUUUCAGAAUUACAUUUCUUUGUUCUGUAGUUUUGUUAAAAUGUAAUGUGAGCUGUUAUAAUUCUUUGUUUUGGAAUUGUAUUGAAACAAAACUUGAGAUGUUAAUAUAGCUUUUUGCCCUGGGAUUCCAUGAUAGUUUAAAUUAGAUAUCUUUCUCUAUGUCUUAUUCCCCUGCUUAGAGUUUUUUAAGGCGUCCAUGGGUCUUCUUUAAUGCUAAAAUUCAGAUUUGCUCAAGUCUUCCAUGCAAGUGUCUCAUAUUCUAGCUUAUGCUUCUGGAGCCAUUCCGGCAUAUUUUUAUAAAUCCCACACUGUGAUACCACGUGUUAGGAACACUGACUUAAGAAAACCAUAAGACUGCUGUAAUAUUCACUGAAUUUCUGCCACAAUCAUCAUUUUUCUUCUAUUUUCUUCCUGCACAUGGUUAAUAUGUUGUAACCUUUUGUAGUGUGAGACUUCCUCUUUGACUUCUUAUCCUUUCUUUGUCUUUAAUACAAUAUUCUUUCUUGCAGCUUUUGCCUGAAUGUUCACCGCAUUCAGUUCUCUACAUCUUAGAGUUGUUAUCGUUGAAACACUGUGCAGGCUGCGAGCUUUAUCGUGCUGAAACUCGGGGUCAGUCUUGGGAUUCACAUGGAAACCACAUAAAAGAUGUAAGGGCUGCAAUUUUUUUUAUUUGUUUUUGAUAGUUGCAUCAUCUCCUCUCAUGUUCUAUCGCCUAUGAGUGCAAAUGCACUAAGUCUUGAUGGUCUCUUCCAAUAGGGUUCAGGCUUAUGUGUUGCUAUCAGAGUAUAUAUAUCAGUCUAAGACACUCUUUGGGAAUCUGUAUGAAUGGACACUUAAUUGGUUAUGUCGAUGUCCUUUUUGAUAUUCCCCUUGUUUGAGCAAUUUAUCAAUAUUAUUUUAUGUAUAUAUUUGAGUGUGUGCAUAUGUGUGUGUUUUAUAUGAUAACUCUGCGUAUGAACGCAUGCAGGCACAUGGGAUGUUUAUCUCAUCAUUUAUCGUAUACAAGAAUCUUGUGAUCUUCUAUUAUUUUCUACUCAAGUUUCUGCCCUGCUUCUGAAUGCUUUUCUAACUUUCCAGGCUUCCUUUGGUCCUCCAUUCGCACUGAUUCAAGGAACUCUUAAUGCCCAAGGAACGGCUUUUGAGAAGCUGCCGGGUGAAUUCUGUCCAACAGUAAGACGGGGAUCUGUGGCAUGGGUUGGUUCUGGCCCUGAAUUCUUUAUAAGCCUAGCAAACCAUGUGGAGUGGAAAAAAUCCUAUACUGUAUUUGGAUAUGUACUCCCCGAGGACAUGGAAAUUGCUGAGAAAAUUGCUCAGCUUCCCACAAAAUCUGAUGUGUGGAACAAUAUUAAGGUGGCAGUCUUGGAGAAGCCUGUAUCUUUGUUGAUACGAAGAAUGAAGAACAGUGAAGAGGACCUAAACCAGAGCGCUAAGUAGGACAGGGCUUUUGUUGGCUUUAUCGGGCAACUUUGUAAAUCAAAUUAUAGGUUUGUCUCCAAAAUUUCCAGUUUCUUUUACUUGUAUACCGUUUUUUAUAUACUCAAUCGAGCAUACAGUUUACAGAACACAAAAGAUGUAUAACAUGGCAUUUUGAGGCCUCAAGUAUGAGUACUCUGGAAAACUUUGGCUGUGGUUAUGCCAUUUCGGACUCAAGGGUGCAUG
rnacentral:lncRNA from 1 species